UUAAAAAUCUGAAAAAUGGCACACUCUGAACCAGGGCAGAGUGUGGAUUUUCCCACUUUGCUGCAGGACCCCGCUCUGCUGAAUUCCUGGAGGGAGAGAUGCAAAACCCAGCUGGGUGCAAGGGAACCAUCAGCACGAGCUCCUGAGCCAAAAUAGGAGCUGAAGCCCCGGAAAGUCGUGGGGUAGAGCUGUGAAUCCUAGCAACAGGAGGGGAAAGAACUGUAUGUUUCUUCACGUCCUCCAAGUGUUGGUGCCUUCUGGUACAUCAUUGACAGGAAGAGACAGAGACCAUGGAAAGGCCCUUCUUGCUGAUGCGUCAAGAAAGGGCGUAUUUUUUCCAGUGGGAUGGGUUUUGCCUCAGUCACUUGCCUGGGAGGCUGCUGUGAGGAGGUGCACGAGGAUGGACUGGAGCAUCCAAAUGGAGGCCCCCAAACAUGAGCAUUUUUCCCUUUACCUUCCCGCACCAUUGGGAAUAAUAAUUCCUCGCAGGGCUGUUGCACAGCUUGAUUCAUUAAGGCUUAUGAAGUGCUUUUAGCUCCGGCACCGGAACGCUCUAUGCAAGUUGUUUUGGACUGCUCAGGUGUUAGGAGGAGAGGCAUUGCAGGAGGAAUACAAAUAAAUCAAGAGAAACUGCCCCUUCCUUCCAUGCGUCCCCUGCCCCCCACUGUUCUCCAUCACUGUUGGUGUCAAACAGUUAAUUUACAAGCCCAGCACUUUACAAAGCCCCUGGAGCACCAAUUGUCCCUUUCUCAUGCAACAUCAGCUCCUCAAAACAGCCAGCUGAGUCUCCGGGGUCAGCCUGCUCCUGCCCUUCCCGAGGCAACUUCAGCCUCUCUCCGGAACCGCCUGGGUAUUUAUUUUUGGACAAGUCAGAUCCAGCAUUACCCACCCUGCAGCAGGGUGAACCGGAAUAAGCCCGGGGUGCAGGUGGCUGCUCUGAAGUGUGCCAUGUGCUUGGCCCAGGAGGGAACAUUCACGUGGGGAAGGUGACCCAGAUAUCUCACCCAGCCCACCACCCAUGAGGGCAUCCCCACACAGCGCAGGGAGCGCUCAGCCUGGCAGAACAAACCGGGAGAGCGAUGGGCAAAGGAAGGAAGGUGAAGGCGGUGGAUCUUUCACUUGGCUUUUUUCCCCCUCCCUCCCUCGGUCUCCCUCCCCUCUUCCAGUCUGUUGCACGGGAGCUGUCGGCCAUGCUGUUCCAGUUCAGGGGCUCCUGCAACAGAAAAGAUCAGCUGUUGGAGAACCCAUGGAAAGCCCUGGGGGAGAGCCAUGGCCGCAAGGUAAUCAGCAGGCAAAGUUAUUACCAUUAUGCUGCUAAUUAAUUCCCAGCUCAUUACGUUUCCUGUGGCUAAUUUGUACUCGCCGCUGAUUUGAUUAAACUCAUCUCUAUGCUAAUAAAUGUGUUUUCCAUUUGUUUUAGCGACUGUAGGAAGAGAGCCCGGUAUUUACAUAUUUUGACGUUUAUCAAAUAAAACGCGGCGCCUGAA